UACGUAGGGGGCAAGCGUUGCUCGGAAUCACUGGGCGUAAAGGGUGCGUAGGCGGGUCUUUAAGUCAGGGGGGAAAUCCUGGAGCUCAACUCCAGAACUGCCUUUGAUACUGAGGAUCUUGAGUCCGGGAGAGGUGAGUGGAACUGCGAGUGUAGAGGUGAAAUUCGUAGAUAUUCGCAAGAACACCAGUGGCGAAGGCGGCUCACUGGCCCGGUACUGACGCUGAGGCACGAAAGCGUGGGGAGCAAACAGG
rnacentral:rRNA from 1 species